rnacentral:rRNA from 1 species
UACGUAGGGGGCAAGCGUUGUCCGGAUUUAUUGGGCGUAAAGAGCGUGUAGGCGGCCAUGCAGGUCCGUUGUGAAAACUGGAGGCUUAACCUCCAGACGUCGAUGGAAACCGUAUGGCUAGAGUCCGGAAGAGGAGAGUGGAAUUCCUGGUGUAGCGGUGAAAUGCGCAGAUAUCAGGAAGAACACCAAUGGCGAAAGCAGCUCUCUGGGACGGUACUGACGCUGAGACGCGAAAGCGUGGGGAGCGAACAGG